CACGUAGGGGGCGAGCGUUAUCCGGAUUUAUUGGGUUUAAAGAGUGCGUAGGCGGACUUUUAAGCGUGAGGUGAAAUGCCCGGGCUCAACCUGGGAACUGCCUCGCGAACUGGGAGUCUGGAAUGUCCGUGCCGUGGGAGGAAUGUGUGGUGUAGCGGUGAAAUGCAUAGAGAUCGCACAGAACACCGAUUGCGAAGGCAUCUCACGAACGGAUGAUUGACGCUGAGGCACGAAAGCGUGGGGAUCAAAC
rnacentral:rRNA from 1 species